UCUAGAGAUAUUAGCACCUCCCGGGGGCCGGGGGACAGUGCAAGGGGCAAGGAUCGCCGGGGACCACAGGGACAGAGUGCGGGGCCCGACGAAGCCUCGCAGCCUUGCCAGUGGGAGACUCGGCCUGCGGGGGGCGGGGGGGCGUCGCGGGAAGAUCGGCGCCCGGACGAGCUGGGCGGCGCGCGGCGGGAGCGCAGCGGCCCCUGGCGCUUGGCCUCUCCGCGGUCACCGUGGCUGGGCCAGCCCCCGAGGCGGGGCGGAGGGCGGGACCUCGAGCGAGCGCGGCCG
rnacentral:lncRNA from 1 species